GAAUAAGGUUGGAACACCAAGAACUGCUAAUUACUUGCCCCCGCGGUUCAAUUCCGCGGCUUCUUCGA
rnacentral:tRNA from 1 species